GUGCUUACUUAGGUAGCACAUAUGCUAAAAUCGGAAUGAUACAGAGAUUAGCAUGGCCCUUGUGCAAGGAUGAAAUGCAAAUUCGUGAAGUAUUCCAUAUUAUA
ensembl:snRNA U6 U6 spliceosomal RNA